UGGACCGAUCCGCCAAAUGAUGCAUAACGC
rnacentral:sRNA from 1 species